ACGAUAAGUUAUUUUGCUGGUAAAAUGGAGCAACUAGAAGAUAGUUACAGGGCACGGCACUCUCAGAUUGUCAUGGCUCAGAAGAAGUUGGACAUCCAAUCGGAACAGAGGCUAAAAGAGAUUGAGGAAUUGAAGAAAGAAGUGAACGAAAGUAAGAAAGAAAAGGAGAUGGUCGAAAAAGUGUUAAAGAAACGGGUUGAUGAGUUGAGUGAGCAGAUUGAGGCUGAACGAGAAAAAGCUGCCGAGUUCCUGUCAACAUGGACUAGAGAAGUCAGUGACAUGCAAGCGGAAAAUUCAGAACUUAAGCAAGAGCUAGACAAAAUUAGACCGAAGUAUCACAACCUGAAGAAAGCAGUGCAUGUUUAUAAAACGCGGGCUGAAUAUUUUGAAAAGAAAGCAAAAGAAGACCACGACAAGCUAAAGAAAUCCUCAGAGCUCAUUGAGCAAAAAUACAAAGCUAUGAUCAACAAGAAAGAACUAGAGAUCGAAGAAAAACUUCACCAGCUAGAAGAAGUUUACCAAGAAGCUGUCGGAACUCCUCCCUCAACAAGGACACCAAUAACAGCAGGAGAUAACGUUGUAACGAACGAUGGUUGAAAUCGAGUUGAUUGAUUCCUUAAAAAAAUUGUUAUAUUUCUAAGUUAACUAAACUCUAUUGAGUUUUACUGGCUCAGGAUGUCCUCACCAGGGUUGUCACCGUCAUAAAUAUCCAGGAAAUGUCAGGUUUGAAAAAGUCAGUGUAAAUUGGGGAACAUCAGUGUAAGGAGUGGUUAGGAACAAUGGUUAAAUCCCUUUUUUUGCUUUCUAGAAUGUGUUUGGUGUCUGAACAGCAAAUUUUACAUGUUUGAGUACGGAAAUAACGACUACCCCAAAUACUUCCAAAUGUCAGAGAAUUUCUUUUUAUCAAUUUCUUUGGCAACUCUUGAGUAGGAACAGUUAUGAAUUUUGGAAAAUUUCAUUUUCCAUCAUCAGAGUCUGAAAAUUUGAGACCAUUUAAGGAAAUGAAGAAGUUUAGGGAGGGAUUUGAAAACUGAUACUUUCGGAUUGUAGAUCAGACAAUGUCAUACUGACGUUGCUGCAUUUUUUCAUCCAUUUCCUGUGCAUAUUUCGAAGAGGCUCCUCAAAUAAGAUUGAAUGCAGCUUUUGGUUGCCAAUCAUCUUGCCUUGAUGGCUGAAUGCAAAAAAUAUGUUUAUCAAUUGCAACAUUUGAACGCUCCCAUUUCUUUUAUUUUCCUCAAGGAGAACUAAUCAAAACGUUUCCUCACAAUUCUGUGUGAUUUUUUCAGAAUGAGUGAAGAAAAUUCACGAAUGUUUUCAACAGAAACUGUGUGGUUAAUUUCCUUUUAAAAAUAAAACACAAGCGGAGGCUUAUGUCGCAAUCUAAGAUAUGCAUUUUGCAGCUAUCGGUAUUUUUUUCCAUUGAGGUUUUCCAAUUCAGAAAAAGUACAGAAGUGAUGCAAAACUUCCACUCAUAGGCCUAACUAAAAACUCAUAAAUAGUGGAACAAGUAUUGUGUAGUUGUGAAGCUAACAUAUCGACAAAAGAUCAUUACAUAUAUAAUUUGCAUUGUCUGAUGGCAAAGCAAUGACGUUUUUGCCAUUUUUCUCACAUAAAUUGUUCAGCCCAUUUCUGAUAGUUCAGAAAACGUUGAAAUGUAAAGGAACUUUUAAAUUUUUGAAACUCCAGACAUUUUAGAGUAUCUUAAGAAUAUUGAAGGACUUUCUCUCAGAUCAAAAGUUAUUAAAUUAAUUCUUGUUAUCGAAAUUGAAACUAAGUUCUGGAAAAAAAAUUGAUUCUGAAUAGUUUAAUACAAGAGUCUGACCUUGCAAUUAGCAGAUCGAAUAAAAAAAAAAAGCCCAUUCACAUGCAAAUGAAGCGUAGACUAUUCUGACAUUCAUUAAAAUAUUCCAGAAAUUGUUUCUUUUCAUUUGUUGCAUUUGUGAUCUUAUUGUUUUUUUAUCUUUUUCUUCCGCUUUUAUUAAGUUCAUUCCAGUAUAUUUGUUUUAUAGGCUUAUAUGUGUAUACUUUGUGUAGUGAUGUUAUCUUUCCCAGUGCCUAAUAUUAUAGUACAAAAUAUAAUGAACCUAAAGUGAAGACAGCCAAUGUCGAUAAUAGAGCUACAAUUGAAUCUCACUAUGAUCGAGUUUCACAGAGUCGCAUCAAGUUUGAACCGAGAAAAGCAGGUCUGAAGUUUUGUUCCACCAUAAGAUGGAAUGUUAAAGUAGAGAUGGAAUGUUAACUAAGGGCAUGUUCAAAAAUUGUUGACAGGGGAAAAUUUAUGUCUAGUUGAAUUCCAAACCAUUCCUAGCUCAUUUUUUUUUUUCCAAAAUGCGACCUGAUGUGUUUUUGUUGAACUUCAUCUAUUUCAAACUCUGUAAACUCGCAUGAAUGUUUCAGCUGCACUUUCAUAGCUUUAAUUGUAAAAAAAAAAAAAAAAAAAAAAAGGAUCUCUCUCUUGGACUUUACACCAUAAUUUUCAAUUUUUAAUUACCUUCCUUGGUUAUUUUAAUAUUCUUUGGAAAAAAGAGAGAGAAAUAUUAUUGAUUUUUCAAAAUUUUACCAGUGAUGCAUCACUUUUUAUAGUAUUAACGAAUAAAUUCCCGUUCAUAUGUACAUUUAAAAGUUUGUAUGACAUCUCAUGUGCUUUAAAGGAAAAUGUGAGAAUGAUAUGUGAUUAAUUGCAAAAUAGUUUAUACCGUUAGGGAUUACCAUGUAGUAAUAUUGUUUUCAGUCAAUGCAAUUUUCCAGAACUUCUUUCUUUUAUUGGUUAAAAUAUUAAUUGUACUUAAAAACUAGUGAAAAAUACAACUGACUUUUAAGAAAAUUGAAAGUUUGCAACAAUUAUACUAUAAUCAUAAGAAGUGAAACUUUAGUGAUUAUGGUAUUGAAAAACGACUGUUGAUAUUCCCUAAAGUAAAUCAUUUAUUCUGAUGCAAAUCGACACUGAAAUUCAGCUGAGAGUUACAUAAUUUUCUUUGUGGAAUCACAAGUUUCUAUUAUUAGCAGACAAUGAAGUAUAAUCCUCUGCAUACAUUUUCCAAAUUUACUACCUGUAGCGAAUUCAACAACCAUCUCAAACCAAUUGCAUAUUAAGAACUAUCAACCUUAGCUCUUAUCUAUGAGUGACUCGAUAUGAAUAAAAAAUUUAAUGGCACAUGGUGCCAUUUUAAAGAAGACAAUGAAAGCCGUAUGAGCCUUCAGCCGUUGCCAAAUUUCCCUUGAUAAAAUACCAAUGUCUUACUUCUAUUCAUUUAUUUUUUAUUUAUUUAUUUAUUAACUUCAAUUUUUCAGGGGAUUUUCUGUACAAUUUAAUCUAAAGGACUUAAAAUUUUCAAGGAAAGAUAAAUUUCCUUGAAACUCAGUAUUUUAUCUCGAGAAAUCUGGCAACCGCCGAUUGUUCAAACAGCGUUUUUCCGCAGUGCGGCAGCAUGGAUGGCGUGAGAAUGGGUCUAGAAGGGAUCCUAGUCUGUCAAUUUUGUCAAAACGCGAGGGGCUGAAGAGGCCAAUUUUAAUACACUUUUCAAUUAUAGCCCUCUCACUCUUGGAUGUAAGAGCUAAAGCGUCAAGUUUUAAAUUUUAGAUCUCCUGCAUUGCCCUUGUAACGGUAUUUACAAUGUAUUCCCCACAUCAGAGUACAUACUCAUUCGGACUAAGUUCGUGUACGAUUCUUUUUUUUAGGAUCUGUGUCUCUAUGCAGACUGACGUUUGCGUUUACGAAUGAAAAUUCUAAUUAAACCCAAAGCAUGGCAAUAGUAAAUGAAGUAAAGCUAGCCGGAGAGGCUUCCUUUCUGUUACCAAAUUUCAUCUAGCAAUAUACUUGCAUGACUAUUUUCAUGUGCGUAUUUUGUAUUUUUUGAAAAUAUUAGGGAAUUUUCAUUAAACUAACUUAAAUUUCCAAACAACAUUGAUAGCCAUUUUCAAUUGUUGAAGCUAAGUAAUUUUUGGAUAAAAUUUUGCAAUGUUGCGGUGCACAGAAGCCUCUUUAGCUCCUAUCCUCUUCAAUGAUCAUCACUGGCCAAAGUGUGAAAAAAGUUUCUGCAUUGCCUAUGAUUCCAAAAAUUUACAUUCCUCGGUUACAAAACUGAAUGAUCUGUUUCAUCGUAAGAUUUUUUAGUAUCAGAACGUAUUGUCUGUAAGCCAUGCUAAGGCAUGAGCAGAGUGACAACUGUCCACAGCUGAAAAUUUUAUGUAAAUUAGGUACCUUAUUAAUUGUAAAUAAUGGUAAAUUAGCUUGUUGUUUUUUCUAUUUUUCAAAUUAUUUUUCCUACCCCUAAAAAAAUAUGUACAAGAAUAAAGAAAGUGAAAUUUGAUUCCUUAGUGUGUCUUUCUUAUUUGUACCAUUUACCUUAUUUUUUUUUCUUCUGAUCACUGUACAUUUGCCUUUUUGUGAUGAAUUUUCAAGUGGUCGUAUACCAAUCUAAUUUCAAGAGAAGUACAAUAAUAUCAAUGGUGAAACUGCAGGAAUGCGUAUCUCCAUUUGGGACUUGCAGACUGCCUGUCAUACUUUAUUAGUUAAGUGUUAAAAUAUCCAACGUCAUCUCUUGAGAAGUUCCCUAAAAUUUCCUCUCCUUGUGAAGGAUAAUCUAUGAAAAUUUCAAACAACAGCCUUGAUUCGUUCUCCGUGGUUAAGAGAUUUUGAAACAACGCAAAGAGAUCUGCUUUCCUGCAGUUUGACUGUCGACAUGUAAUCACGUAAUUUCUGGAGAUGAGGUGGAAUUGAUGAAAAUGUUUUGUACCAGAGCAUUAUUUUUGAAAGGUUUUAACCCACCAAACCUAGAACUUCUUUUUUUAAAAUUAAUACGUUACUAUGUUGAUUGGUUCAGUCUCAUUAAAGUACAUAAAAUUAAAAUUUCAAAACACCGCUUUAGAGUUUCAUCAAUAUCGACGUUUAUCUUUGCAGCAGCUACUGUAUUCCCCUUGCGUAUUCUUCAAUUCAUUGAGGAAGAUGGGGAAUGAUUCUGAGCUUCUACAGACAUUUAAAU
rnacentral:lncRNA from 1 species